rnacentral:lncRNA from 1 species
GCUCUUUUGGCAAUAAUGGUCGUUUGGCAAACCAUAUGCAUUAUUGGCAUACUAUGCAGGGGAGCUUUUCACAAAAAAAUUAAUAAAGCGAGCUACAGAAACACGAAUCAUGCUCUUAAUCAUCAACAACCCAACCAAUUGUACCUUUCAACCGAACUUCGACGAAAAAUACAAAAUAAAAGGAAUCUGCGAAAACGCUGGCAAGAAACUCACUACCCUGCUGACAAAAGAUUAUACAAGAAGGCUGCAUCUGAGCUUAGACAACUGCCGUCGAACUUCCGCAAUGAAUCUCUAGCUGCGUAUCUGAGAAUCCUAAAACCUAAUUCCUGCAACAAUGAAUACAACCUAUGGAGGGCGAAAAAAAACCUAAAGAAACCAGCUAAAAGAAACAUAAAUAUUCGCAAAAGCAAUGGAACUUGGUGUAGGUCUAAUAAUGAACAAGCGGAAGCAUUUG